GUGGAACUGGUAAGACGAUCGGCUGGAUCUUCGGAUCUCCCCGAUAUGAACCUUCCCGUGCUUUUUAGAACAUAGAUGGCACCAGUCAGGUGACUAUCGAAACGUAAUACGCCGCGUAGACUUCGGUCACGACGGUAUGGCGAGCUUUCGCCGUCCACGUUUCUCUUUCUUCAAAAGGAUAUCGAACCAUUGGUUUGCGCUCACGCACGUACCGCCCUUCGGGCUGUGCUCCGCGGGGGCGCCGGACGACCGGCGACGGCCUCUGGCCUGUAUGGGAGAGCCUUGAUAGGCUUGAAGUUCGGCGAGAUGGGCCCGUAGCUCAGUUGGUUAGAGCACACGCUUGAUAAGCGUGGGGUCGGAAGUCAAGUCUUCCCGGGCCCACCAUUUGCAUUUGCGAAUGAGGUUUGCUGGUGCGAAUUGUGGUUUGUGUGGGUUUACCUGAUCCUGGCGGUUUGCUGUCAGGUGUUUGCGAUGGUUGGGGCUGUAGCUCAGCUGGGAGAGCACCUGCUUUGCAAGCAGGGGGUCAGCGGUUCGAUCCCGCUCAGCUCCACCAAAUCCUGUCCUGACGCUGUCGCGCUCUUCGAGCGCUGCGCUUCGGACGGACCGGCCAACGAUGGCCGACGGCCUCUGGCCUGUAUUUGGUGGGUCGUUGCUGGCGGUGAAUGAGAUAUCCUUUGAAGAAAUAAAAGUUUUGCAUCGGCUUAGGCUGGUGCGUGUUCUGCAUACAUUGUGAAGAGAAGAUUGAUCUGGAGGCUUCCAGGUGUUUUGGGUUUUGCCCAAGGCGUCCGAGCCCAGUUCCUGUGAAACCAUGGAUGGCCUAGCCGGCCGGAUGUGGUGGAGGGAUUGGAGGUAGGAGGGAAGCUUGUCGCUCUGGGUCGUUGUUGUUUGCUGUCUUUAGGGACGGCAUCUGACGGACGACUUGAUUACCGUUGCCUGACCGCGCGGUAUCGGAUCCAAUCUCGAGAAGCUGGUCUUAAGACAGGCUGCAAGCGAGCUGCUCGGCGUAGCUCCAAUAAAGCAGACCUGUCGAACACGUUAAUGGCAUCAUGAAAUGGCCUGGGUUGUAAAAGGUAACCCUGGCCGCCGCAUCCCUUUGGGAUGUCGGCUCAGUGAUGAGCAUUGGCAAUGAGAACGAUUAAGUGUCGUAAGGGCAUUUGGUGGAUGCCUUGGCAUGCACAGGCGAUGAAGGACGUGAUACGCUGCGAAAAGCCGUGGGGAGCUGCG
rnacentral:misc_RNA from 1 species